rnacentral:rRNA from 1 species
UACGGAGGGAGCUAGCGUUGUUCGGAAUUACUGGGCGUAAAGCGCGCGUAGGCGGCUUUGUAAGUUAGAGGUGAAAGCCCGGGGCUCAACCCCGGAAUUGCCUUUAAGACUGCAUCGCUUGAAUCCGGGAGAGGUGAGUGGAAUUCCGAGUGUAGAGGUGAAAUUCGUAGAUAUUCGCAAGAACACCAGUGGCGAAGGCGGCCAACUGGUCCGGUACUGACGCUGAGGUGCGAAAGCGUGGGGAGCAAACAGG